CUCCGGUCUGUUAUAAACUAUGCGUGCAAUAUUAGGUUCAAGAUAUCAAUAGAGCACACUGACCGUGCUGUCAUACAUUAAAACUAGUGUCUGGGAUGAUUAACCUUCUCUAUGCUAUGAAAGCGGCCCCCUAGCGGUGAAGCCUCAGCUGGCUCUUAUGACGGAAGUGCAGGUGACAUUUCUCACACUGGAAGAAAAGGUUAGAGCAGAGAGUGAGAUUUCAACAUCAUUUUGCAUGUGGAUGCGCAGGUGGCUCUUCAGUGUCUGCAGGUGGCGGAAACGUGUUCCACAGGUGUUACAUGGGUACGGCUUUUCCCCAGUGUGGAUCAGAACAUGGGCACGCAGAUGUACCUGGACAAAUCUGGCUCCACAUGUGUCGCAGCGGUAGGGCUUUUCUCCAGAGUGGAUGCGGGAAUGAGUCUUUAAAUUGGCAGGCCGGUUGAACUGUGCUCCACACACAUUACAACGGUGUCAGCGACAUGCUCCAUCUGCAGAUAGGUGGCAGCGGCGAGCACGCCAGAUACUGUCUGGGGAGUGAGAGGGAGGCAGGAGGUGUACAUGAAGUCCAGCAGCAGGGACACGCUGCCUGCGUCCAGCCCCUC